UACGUAGGGUGCAAGCGUUAAUCGGAAUUACUGGGCGUAAAGCGUGCGCAGGCGGCGCCGCAAGUCAGGCGUGAAAUCCCCGAGCUCAACUUGGGGAAUUGCGCUUGAAACUACGGUGCUGGAGUAUGGCAGAGGGAGGUGGAAUUCCACGUGUAGCGGUGAAAUGCGUAGAGAUGUGGAGGAACACCGAUGGCGAAGGCAGCCUCCUGGGCC
rnacentral:rRNA from 1 species